rnacentral:ncRNA from 1 species
GGGUCUAGUUCCAAAGCUGAAAUUGAAAGGCACAGCAGUGGAGUCUGCGCCUAAUUUGACUCAACUUGGGCACUCACCUGGCUCCGGCGUGGACAGGGCUGAUAAUUGAUAGCUCUUUCUUGGGUGGUGGUACAUGGCCUUUCUGCAUUGGUGGAGUGAUUUGUCUGGCUUACUGAUAACCAAGGGGUCUAGCUUGCUAACCACUUAGGGCACUCUGAGUGCUCAGUAUCCCUCAACUUCGACAGGUGGCGUUCCGCCACCCGAGAUUGAGCAUUCGCAAGUCUGUGAUGCUCUUAAAUAUCGCGGACCACGCGCAGCACCUCUCAAUGUGUGCGUACCCCAGUUCAUCGUUUGCCCGGGACCCGUUAAACCCAUUAGUGAUGGGCUUGACUUGCAAUUAUUCCCCAUUAAUGAGGAAUUACCUGUAAGAGAGUAGAUUAAAAGCCUGCAGUAAGUCCCUGCCCCUUCUACACACUGCCCAUCGCUCCUCAGAUUGCCCAGUUGGUAUCGGCACUUGGCCCUGGCAGGUCGCAAAGAAGACAGUCGAAAUAAAAGUUACAACCAGGUUUGGGUAGGUGGUCCUGCGGGAG